AUUGAGCGCUGGCGGCAGGCUUAACACAUGCAAGUCGAGCGGGGGAAGGUAGCUUGCUACCGGACCUAGCGGCGGACGGGUGAGUAAUGCUUAGGAAUCUGCCUAUUAGUGGGGGACAACAUCUCGACAGGGAUGCUAAUACCGUAUACGUCCUACGGGAGAAAGCAGGGGAACUUCGGAUCUUGGGCUACUAGAUGAGCCUAAGUCGGAUUAGCUAGUGGGUGGGGUAAAGGCCUACCAAGGCGACGAUCUGUAGCGGGUCUGAGAGGAUGAACCGCCACACUGGGACUGGGACACGGCCCAGACUCCUACGGGAGGCAGCAGUGGGGAAUAUUGGACAAUGGGGGGAACCCUGAUCCAGCCAUGCCGCGUGUGUGAAGAAGGCCUUAUGGUUGUAAAGCACUUUAAGCGAGGAGGAGGCUACUCUAGUUAAUACCUAGGGAUAGUGGACGUUACUCGCAGAAUAAGCACCGGCUAACUCUGUGCCAGCCGCCGCGGUAA
rnacentral:rRNA from 1 species